rnacentral:rRNA from 1 species
AAUCAACGCUGGCGGCGUGCCUAACACAUGCAAGUCGAACGCGAAAGCCCCUUCGGGGGUUAGUAGAGUGGCGUCCGGGUGAGUAACACGUGGGUAAUCUGCCUUCGGGUGGGGGAAUAACCCAGGGAAACUUGGGCUAAUACCGCAUAAUGCAGCGGCACCUAAUGGUGAUUAGUUGUUAAAGCGGGGGAUCGCAAGACCUCGCGCCUGAAGAGGAGCCUGCGGCAGAUUAGCUAGUUGGUGAGGUAAUGGCUCACCAAGGCUUCGAUCUGUAGCUGGUCUGAGAGGACGGCCAGCCACACUGGCACUGACACACGGGCCAGACUCCUACGGGAGGCAGCAGUGGGGAAUUUUGGGCAAUGGGCGAAAGCCUGACCCAGCAACCGCCGCGUGAGGGAGGAAAUCCUUCGGGAUGUAAACCUCACAAGCAAGGGAAGAGAGCUGCAGGCUGAAUAAUCCUGCAGUACGACGGUA